rnacentral:lncRNA from 1 species
CAUUUUUCUUCAUGACCCAAGCAAGGAACACAUUUUUAUACCCAGACCCACUUCAUCCUUUGCUCUGUAAUCUGUGGAACUAAGUGAGACACUUAAGCCAAAAGGCUGCUCUAAGGGACGCUUCCUUUCCUACCUUGUUCUGUUGAACUGUAUGAUGACCAGCACAGGAGAAGAGCAGCACCGGCUUUCUCUAAGCUUCCUUGCAUCUGGGCUACUCCAGAGAGCACGCCUGUUCCCUGUGGGAGGUGCUCAGAGCAGGCACAGCUGUUCCCUGCCUCUUCUGCAUCGCCCUUCUUGCUAGCUCUCUGUUUUUUCUUCUUCUUUCCCGCACCCUGGGAGGCAGGAGACCCACCUGGUGGUGCUGGUGAGUAGGAGCAGGGCGGACGGGGCCGGGGCUGGGCAGGGCAGGCUUGCUGAGUUAGCUGGGCCCACCAUGCCCAGGUGCCUUCGCACGCAGGGCCUGGGACAUUGUGAGUGAUGGGCAGAGUGGAAUAAGCUGUUCUCAUAGGAGGACGAUGAGGGAACCCCAUGCCCAGCAGAGGAUGAGCUGACCAUGCAGGACAAUGGCUUCCUCAGCAAGAAUGAGGUACUGCGCAGCAAGGUGUCGAAGCUUACAGAGCGGCUCCGCAAGCGCUACCCGACCAACAACUUCGGGAACUGUGCAGGCUGUGCUGCCACCUUCUCCGUGCUGAAGAAGAGGCGAAGCUGCAGCAACUGUGGGAACAGCUUCUGCUCUCGGUGCUGCUCCUUCAAGGUGCCCAAGUCCUCCAUGGGGGCCACAGGUGAGGGGUGCAGGGAGUGGGUCAGGGAGGCUGCCUUGUGGGAAGGAGUGAGGAUGUCCCACACAGAGCAAGGCACUCCCCGAGGCUCCCCUCUCUCCUCCCAGAGGAGACCACCUGGUUGAAUCUUACUUCAUUACCUCUAACUU